UGCAGCAAUCGAGACACAUUCUUUAAAUAAAUUUCUCUCAAAAAUGGUUGAUUUAUUCUGCAGCAGCAUCAGCAUCAGUUGAAUCAAAACAUAAGCCGAAGCGAAACCAUUUUUUUGGGUGAUAAUAAAGUCGCAGCAUCACCCAUAAAAAACAUGUUCAACAAGAGCUCUGAUGCUAAUUACACGGUUGAGAUUUUUCUCUAUUUUGCCUAUCUUUUCAACAAAUUCAAGAAGAAUUAUUUAAAAUUUUUAAGAAAUCUACGAUUUGAUAAUAAAGAAUGUCUACCCAUCCAAGCAAAUGUCAAAAAUCUUGUUGUCGACAUCGAAUGCCAAUAUUAUCACGAGAUUAGCGAAACAUAGCACCGGUUUUUUUUACAGCAGCCGAUUGAGUGUUACGAACUGUCAAAAACUUUCAAUAUUUUACAUUGUUCAAGUAGAUUUGAAUUGUUGUUGUUUUAAAUAGAAAUCACUGACAGUCAAAGAGAAAGAAUGUUGUCAUUGAUUUUGGUUUGAAAUAAACACUUUUGCAACUGAAACAUCAAUUUUGAAAGGAUUUUUAUCAUUAAAAAUAAUUUAUGUUGAAAAUGAAAUAAAAGCAUUGUAUUUUGUCUGAAUAAAUCCUUAAAUAAAAACCACCAUAUAUAAGUACC